rnacentral:lncRNA from 1 species
CUCAAAGCUUCAUUCUUGAAGGAUCUGAGUUCUUUUACAAUCCUGUCCUUAUUACACAUAGUAAAUUAUAAAUCGUUCGGGUGGAAAGACCUUUCAGCUCUAGAUCUUGCCUACAAUGCCAGCAUCGUGCAGCAACCGAUACAGGUGAAUGCUUUGAAAAGUGGCCAAAAGCAAAGAGAAGACAAGAGUCCCUCAAGGUUGAGGAAGAUGGUGGUCUUUGGCUUCUCUCCAAGUAGUGGCACACUUGCUCAGCCCCUGUGAGAGAAGGAGAGGAGUCACUUUGUGGUGUGCCUAGAGAGGCUGGAUAUUACACUCUGGAGCUCUCAGCCCUGGCAAAGACGCCUGUGCCGAGCUUGGCAGGAGUCAGCAGAGCUGCCUGACCUUAAGUGAUCCGAAGAGCUUGGAUGCUGAGCACAUGCAUGGUGAUUAGUAUGAACUGAAAACAAGCGGACUCCAUCUAAGUGACAUGCUCUGGGUAAGUUUCCAGGGGCUUUUGCAUAACACUGUGAGGCCCAGUAAGAUGUGGACUUAUGCAAAAUAUAUUUUGAUUUUGGAACAAAAUGAAGUAUUGUGACAUUUUUCAUAAACCCUUGUUUGUAGAGUAAAA